UACGAAGGGGGCUAGCGUUGUUCGGAUUUACUGGGCGUAAAGCGCACGUAGGCGGUUCGUUAAGUCGGAUGUGAAAGCCCCUCGGCUCAACUGAGGAAGUGCACCCGAAACUGGCGAGCUUGAGUACGAAAGAGGAUCGCGGAAUUCCCGGUGUAGAGGUGAAAUUCGUAGAUAUUGGGAAGAACACCGGUGGCGAAGGCGGCUCACUGGCUCAUUACUGACGCUCAGGCGCGACAGCGUGGGGAUCAAACAGG
rnacentral:rRNA from 1 species